AGUGAACGCUGGCGGUAGGCCUAACACAUGCAAGUCGAACGGCAGCACAGUAAGAGCUUGCUCUUACGGGUGGCGAGUGGCGGACGGGUGAGGAAUACAUCGGAAUCUACUUUUUCGUGGGGGAUAACGUAGGGAAACUUACGCUAAUACCGCAUACGACCUACGGGUGAAAGCAGGGGAUCUUCGGACCUUGCGCGAUUGAAUGAGCCGAUGUCGGAUUAGCUAGUUGGCGGGGUAAAGACCCACCAAGGCGACGAUCCGUAGAUGGUCUGAGAGGAUGAUCGGCCACACUGGAACUGAGACACGGUCCAGACCCCUACGGGAGGCAGCAGUGGGGAAUAUUGGACAAUGGGCGCAAGCCUGAUCCAGCCAUACCGCGUGGGUGAAGAAGGCCUUCGGGUUGUAAAGCCCUUUUGUUGGGAAAGAAAAGCAGCAGGUUAAUACCCCGCUGUUCUGACGGUACCCAAAGAAUAAGCACCGGCUAACUUCGUG
rnacentral:rRNA from 1 species